UACGUAGGGGGCAAGCGUUGUCCGGAAUCAUUGGGCGUAAAGCGCGCGCAGGCGGCCACUUAAGUCCGUUGGUGAAAGACCGGGGCUCAACCCCGCGUCAGCCAUGGAUACUGGGAGGCUGGAGACAGGUAGAGGCAAGCGGAAUUCCGGGUGUAGCGGUGGAAUGCGUAGAGAUCCGGAAGAACACCGGAGGCGAAGGCGGCUUGCUGGACCUGGUCUGACGCUGAGGCGCGAAAGCGUGGGGAGCGAACAGG
rnacentral:rRNA from 1 species